rnacentral:rRNA from 1 species
UAUCUCUGUAGAGUCUGCAUAUCAAUAAGCGGAGGAAAAGAAACUAACUAGGAUUCCCUCAGUAACGGCGAGUGAAGCGGGAAGAGCUCAAAUUUGAAAUCUUCAAGGUUUCUACCUUGACGAAUUGUAGUUUAAAGAAGUGUUUUCUGUUGGAGGUUUUGGUAAAUGUCCUUUGGAAUAGGACAUCAUAGAGGGUGAGAAUCCCGUAUUUGACCAUUACUUCCAGCUUUGUGAUACACUUUCAAAGAGUCGGAUUGUUUGGGAACGCAGUCCAAAAUGGGUGGUAAAUUUCAUCUAAAGCUAAAUAUUGGCGAGAGACCGAUAGCGAACAAGUACCGUGAGGGAAAGAUGAAAAGAACUUUGAAAAGAGAGUUAAACAGUACGUGAAAUUGUCAAAAGGGAAGCGUUUGACACCAGUGUUGUUUUCUCGAAAAUCAAUUAAAAAAAGUUGGAUUUUGUAUUGUUAAGACCUUAUCAGCUUACUGUACUCUUUUCUUGCUUUUUUAAUGCACUUUUCGUUUAACAAGUCAACAUCAAUUUCUUUUGUUGUAAAAGAGUCAUUGGAAGGUGGCUUUCACUUCGGUGAAAGUGUUUAUAGCCUUUGGCUUCUGCAAUCGGAGAGAUUGAGGUCUGCAGCGUAGAUCCUUCGGGGCUAGAUACGUAGAUGCUAAGUUAUAGUUUUUUAUAGACAACUUGUUGACUAUAAUUAAUCAUGUAGCUUACUCGUUUGCGCUAUUUUACCUACGCUUAGGAUGUUGACGAUCAGCUGAGCGCG